AGAACGAACGCUGGCGGCAGGCUUAACACAUGCAAGUCGAACGCCCCGCAAGGGGAGUGGCAGACGGGUGAGUAACGCGUGGGAACGUGCCCUUCGCUUCGGAAUAGUCCCGGGAAACUGGGUUUAAUACCGAAUACGCCGUAUUGGGAAAGAUUUAUCGGCGAAGGAUCGGCCCGCGUUAGAUUAGGUAGUUGGCGGUGUAAUGGACCACCAAGCCUACGAUCUAUAGCUGGUCUGAGAGGAUGAUCAGCCACACUGGGACUGAGACACGGCCCAGACUCCUACGGGAGGCAGCAGUGGGGAAUCUUGGACAAUGGGCGCAAGCCUGAUCCAGCCAUGCCGCGUGAGUGAAGAAGGCCUUAGGGUUGUAAAACUCUUUCGCCGGAGAAGAUAAUAGACGGUAUCCGGAGAAGAAGCCCCGGCUAACUUCGUGCCAGCAGCCGC
rnacentral:rRNA from 1 species